ACCUAUUCGAAAAAUAGAAUAUGGUUAAAAAUUGCUGAUGUGAUAGAGGAUUCAAGUACCAUUUACAAACAAAAUAUUGAAGAGAAUGUGCUCAAAGGAAAUGCAUAUGAAUUCAUUUUUGUUGACCAGGAUGGAAAAAUUCUUUGGAACCCAUAGAUAGAAUAAGUUAGUUAGGCCUAGUGGUGUACCAGCCAGAAGUAGAGGAUGACAAAGAAAAUCAACUAUGAAUAAUAUUCCAUGGAUAUAAUUCAUGUAUGAUGUAGUAGCCUACAGAAGAAAGAGAUGGACUAAUCUAAGAAAUAUAUU